rnacentral:rRNA from 1 species
GAUGAACGCUGGCGGCGUGCCUAAUACAUGCAAGUCGAGCGAACAGAUGAGGAGCUUGCUCCUCUGACGUUAGCGGCGGACGGGUGAGUAACACGUGGAUAACCUACCUAUAAGACUGGGAUAACUUCGGGAAACCGGAGCUAAUACCGGAUAAUAUAUUGAACCGCAUGGUUCAAUAGUGAAAGACGGUUUUGCUGUCACUUAUAGAUGGAUCCGCGCCGCAUUAGCUAGUUGGUAAGGUAACGGCUUACCAAGGCAACGAUGCGUAGCCGACCUGAGAGGGUGAUCGGCCACACUGGAACUGAGACACGGUCCAGACUCCUACGGGAGGCAGCAGUAGGGAAUCUUCCGCAAUGGGCGAAAGCUUGACGGAGCAACGCCGCGGGAGUGAUGAAGGUCUUCGGAUCGUAAAACUCUGUUAUUAGGGAAGAACAAAUGUGUAAGUAACUAUGCACGUCUUGACGGUACCUAAUCAGAAAGCCACGGCUAACUACGU